CUCUAGGACCCAGCAGCCCUGCUCUUACAUGCUCCACUGAUUCCCCUCUGUCCAGACUCCCUGCAGAGUGGUGCCCCCAGGCAGAGUGGUGCCCUACACGGCUGCCUAUGGCUAAGGAUGGCCCUGGAUCCACCUCAGUCACCAGCAGCGCCGCGAAGCCCAGAGAGGGGGCCGUGUUCUUUGCGCUGCCCCGCAGCUGCGCUGCCACUUGGAGGAGGCAGUGUCCCUGAUGCAAGCUAGAGGGAAGCCUAUGCAGCAGCUGCUGAGUGCCAGGCAGGAAGAAAGCACAGAGCCUAUCAGCAACAGCCUGGCUGGAGGAGGAGGAGGGAAGACACAGAGAAAAAUGUGACAUCUCUUUCAGGUAUCCUUAGAGGUGGAGAGGCUAUUUCUUGAGAUAGCUGAAGACAAAAUGAAGAGGUCUCCCAGGGGUUUAAGUAGAC